AUGUUUUUGUUUAAGAAUGAUGCAUUAAAAGGUACUUUUUCAAUUGUUUUGGAACUGUACUAAUCCUGUAUUAGUUUCUACCAUUAUUAAGGGCACAAGGAGGGAUGGACAGAUGGCAGCAGAUACCACACAAGGAAUAGGAGACCAUUGCCAGGAUACAAGGUAUCCACUAUGCCAACAGGCCAACAUUGGCCAAAGUCAAUUAUAGUUAAUCUCAGUCCCCAUACAAAAAAAGACAACACUACUUUUGAAGAAGAGUCCAGGGAGUUGUGAUCAACUGAAGCCAACCACUGAAUAAAGGAUGACAGCAGGUAUAGAAAGAUGCCAAAUUGUGGAUGACCACACAAUGAUGAGGAGACCAUUACCAGAAUACAG